GACGUAGGGCGCGAGCGUUGUCCGGAUUUAUUGGGCGUAAAGAGCUCGUAGGUGGUCUGUUGCGUCGGCUGUGAAAACCCGAGGCUCAACCUCGGGCCUGCAGCCGAUACGGGCAGACUAGAGUUCGGCAGGGGAGACUGGAAUUCCUGGUGUAGCGGUGAAAUGCGCAGAUAUCAGGAGGAACACCGGUGGCGAAGGCGGGUCUCUGGGCCGAUACUGACACUGAGGAGCGAAAGCGUGGGGAGCGAACAGG
rnacentral:rRNA from 1 species